CGAUUUACCCUAGACUGGUUCCGGUCGCGCAGCCAGAAUACAGCAGUAGCCGCGGAGUACGGCAACCAGCUUGCAUGUACCAACAGGGGAAUAGAGAGAGGGGGAACACGAAUGUACCACUGGGGAGAGGGAUUUGAAGAGUAUAAGUAGCGACUAAUAAAGGACAUAUUUAAUGAGAUGCCAGAGAUAGCUACUGAACCACUAUCUACGCUGUGCUUCAAUUCGCGAGGACAAAGGGACUGGGAAUGCUGGUUCACUACAAAAGCAACUUUCCCUCUCCUGGCAUUGACAUCUUCU